UACGUAGGGUGCAAGCGUUAAUCGGAAUUACUGGGCGUAAAGCGUGCGCAGGCGGUUGUGCAAGACAGAUGUGAAAUCCCCGGGCUCAACCUGGGAACUGCAUUUGUGACUGCACGUCUAGAGUGUGUCAGAGGGGGGUAAAAUUCCACGUGUAGCAGUGAAAUGCGUAGAGAUGUGGAGGAAUACCGAUGGCGAAGGCAGCCCCCUGGGAUAACACUGACGCUCAUGCACGAAAGCGUGGGGAGCAAACAGG
rnacentral:rRNA from 1 species